ACUUAGCUCCGCACCCAAAGGUUACCGCCGCCGCCGCUCCAUCUUCCGCCAUUGACGAGCAGAUCUGAGUUAUUGAUUGGGUCUCGUUUGGUUUUUUUUUUCUCUCUUUUUCCUUUUUGUUCUCCGUUGCGAUGAGUUUGCCAUCGAGAAAGAAAGCUGAGUUCGUUUCUUCUGCCUUUUCACUUGUUAUUAUUAUGCCUUGGUGUCUGGCUGGCGGAUUGGACGACGGUGAUGAAAAACCGCAAGAAAAACACACCAUCUUUCGGGGCUGAUUUGGCGCCGCCGCGCGUGCAAUGAUGCUAAUUCUGCAAUUCUGAUGUCCAUUGCUGAUCCGUUGCUACCAAGACUGUUCUUUCGUUUCUUCCUCAAGUUCUUGGUUUUUUUUCUUCUUUUAAACUUUUCUUUUGUUGCUGCAUACUAGUAAGAGUUAAGAACGAGUCCCACUGUUGUCUGCGUUGGCCGGUGAAGAAAACCUCGAUUAAAAACACCAUCUUUCGGGGCUGAUCGGCCGCCGCUCGGCGGCCAUGCUGCCAUUCUGCAAUUCUGAGGCCAACCCAAUCUGGAGAUGAUGUUGGUACUGCCAUUAUAGUUAUUGUUGUUUUUUAUUUUUAUUUGAUUUGUUUUUCUAUGGAUUUGUCGGGGACCUGUGAUGAAAUCUGGAACCAAAAAUACCAUCUUUCGGGACUGAUUUGGCUUUCAGCAGCCAUGUUGUCACUUCCAAGAUCCUGAGGGCUUGUGGAUCUGUGAAAACCCAAUGGACGUAGAUGAUGAACGAGGCAUACAAAUCAUAAGUUUGUGUUAAUAUCCUUCAACAUCCAAGUUAUUAUAUUCAUUGUAAUCUUGAAGGUGAAAUCAAUCCAAAGCAGGGAAAUAUAUGUCGCCAAGGAUUAUUGUUCAUAGAGAUCUGUUUUGAGGACAAUACGCCGUUGCAAAAUCAGGCGUGUAGUACCAAAACUGCAUGCAAUUCCAUUCGCAGCCUAUUUCCUGGAAGACCUCAGAACCUCGUUUGUGGCUGUAACUUCAAACUUAUUUGGCACCUGAUGGAUUAUGCCUAUGUAUAUGUAGCAACCAGUAUUGACUAACUUCAAACUGGUGUGGCAAACCUGAUGGAUUGUGAUUAUGUACUGCAUCUGUAUAUAUCAGUAUAUGUAGCAAGUGGCAACCAGUAUUACAUGUAAUCGCAAGGUGUAAUCAACUAACCAACAUGUUUUCGUUAGCCUACAAUGACUGACUGCAUAAGCCUCAUUUUAGAGGCAUAGGCAUUUCUAAUGAAUUCUCAGUUUCUCACUGGCA